GAGAGCAGUUCAGGCAUUUCAAAAUACAGCAACCUACAAAUGCUAGCACUGCAGAUAGAAAGCACACCAGUCAGGACUUGACCAGCUCUCAAACACGGACUUCACUGUGUGGUGCACAGUACGAAGACACAACAAAGGAUGUUUUAGUGGUCAGUGAGUACAUCCUGAAAAGAAUCUCAGAGAUCCUGUAAGUCUGCAGGCAUUGUUGUCUUUCUGUGAGUGAGGAGGCUGAAGAUGGGCCACUGCUCUGUCUCUCAAGAAGUGAUGCCAUUACAGRGCUGUUCCCUUCCAGGAAUUAGUGGGAGAAGAUUGGAUGAAGAUUGGAUGAAUCUUCCUUUGGAAGAUUGCUGUCUGCAGGGCAUCAGAUAGAGAAAAGGAGAGCUGAAAGUGUGAGAGAAUGACUGGACAGUAUCAGUGGUCUUAGGAGAGCUGAGCAAAAUUUCAGGUGGGUUUUCCUUAAUGAAAAUAACACACUGCCACUUCAGUUUCUUUCCUGAGGUCUCYGUGCUAGUCCUACCCCUUCAGCUGCAGAAUUUGUGUCUAGGCAUUUAUCCAUGAGAGUUGAAGCAGCACAAGGAGGAGCAGGGGAAUGGGAACCCAGCUACUGACAACCUGUUGAAGAGGGAACUGAGGGCUUGAUAGGAAAAUUUNAAAAAAAAAAAAAAAAAAAAAAAAAAAAAAAAAAAAAAAAAAAAGGAAGAAGUAAAUUUAAAUUUUCUAAGUAACUGAUUUCCUGAAAGGUCUUCAGGUCAAUCAAUCUUUUGCUAUUUUGUUUUAUUCUAUUAUCCAUUUAUUUCUGAGUCCUUCCUUCUCUCCCUUCCCAACUUAAUAGAUUUAUCCAUUCUGCAAUUGUAGGGAUGAGUUCUUCCCAUGUGCUCAGGUCUCUGCUUCCACUGCUAUGUUUUUUGUUGGCAUGGAGGACUAUCAAAUAAACGUUACUUGGCAUCUGGGUGUUCAUGGUGCAGUGACAUCUUCCCAAUCAGCUUUGUGGAAAAUAUUUUCUCCUUCGACAUCAAUUGUUCAGUAAGGCACACCAAGCUUCUUGUGCACACUAAGUUUCUUGUCACUGUGAGAUAACCAGAUAGCGUGAGGGACUCCACAUUCCCAGAAACACUUGUUGCAACUGACAGCAAUUCAGAGCUUCUGAACCUAAUACCCCAAAAUGGUAUAGUCAAAUAAAUUAAUUCCUUGACCACUGUGUACAUAAAGAUUAAUCCAGACAGCAAAGAGAUGCCUAUUUCUGGAAGUUUUAAUGGGCUGCCAGGCUGGUAACUUACCUCAACAGCAAUUUCAAGAAUAUGGUCUAUUUCUGAGAUGUAAGGCCAGCCAUGUGUGAUGUGAGGUUACCACAGAGGUCUAACUAAAACAUCUUCAGUAUAUGGGGAGCGACACUGAACAAAGGGGUAAUGUGUAUAUACUGCCAAAAUGAAAGUGAAAACUUUUUUUCAUAGCAAGUGUUCCUUCCUGGCUUUUUAAUGAAGUAAUUCAGUAUCAGUA